UACGUAGGUGGCGAGCGUUGUCCGGAUUUAUUGGGCGUAAAGAGCUCGUAGGCGGUUUUGUCGCGUCGGCCGUGAAAAUCUCCACGCUUAACGUGGAGCGUGCGGUCGAUACGGGGCAGACUUUGAGUUCGGUAGGGGGAGACUGGAAUUCCUGGUGUAGCGGUGAAAAUGCGCAGAUAUCAGGGAGGGAAACACCCGGGUGGGCGAAAGGGCGGGGGUCUCU
rnacentral:rRNA from 1 species